AUGAAAUAUCGAUAUAUAUGCUAUGUCUGUGUGAUAUGUAAAGCUUGGGGGAGGGGUGGUAGGUGGAUGUUACUAAAUCGACCUGAAAUCUUUCCUCAAAGACAAACGGUGAGUAAAUCACCCUACUGGCUGAAGCAUCCUCCCUCUUCUCAGCGAGAAGCCGGAUUAAGGACCAGGCAGGAAUUAUCCAGUUCUCCAUCUCUGCCAGCUACCAGGAUGACUAAAAGAGUGCAAUUUCCAUCCUCACAAGAGAGAAUUCAAGGGAACUUGGGACUUCGUUCAAAUCAACACUGCCUCCUGGGGUACAAGAAUCAGAGAAGUUUGGCAGAGUAUUGGCCAAAUGAUAGUGG
rnacentral:lncRNA from 1 species